CAAAUUUCAUUCUGACCUUUCCAGAUGAUCUGUUGUCAGAUCAGAGUCAGGCUGUCCAGAUUUGAAUACAGAUGGGGACAUCUGACUGGCUUGAGGGCAGAAGAACUGGCAGCUCACAGGUGCCCCCUUCCACCCAGGGUAGCUUUUACCGUUUCUGAAAAUGACCUCUCCAACGGCAUGGCUUCAUCAGUAGUGACGUGUAGAUCUCCACUUCACCCUCCCUCUGGCAUGGCUACUUUCUGGAUUUUAGCAUCAUCCAGAACUGUUCAUCUUUGACAUUUCAAAUUCAAACACUCCCUUCUCCACAAUCUUUACUCUUCCCAGCUCUCUUGCCUGCGUAGCAAGCUUUAUUCAGUCAUUUCUUAGAAGCUCUCUUACUCAGGGUUGCCUGAGGAAGAGUACUGUAUACUUGCACAACUGAAAAUGUGUGUCUUCCAAUUUCAUUUCAGGUGAGGAGGAGUACCUGAUUAAUCUGAUAGACUCUCCAGGACAUGUGGAUUUCUCCUCAGAAGUAUCGACGGCUGUUUGCAUUUGUGAUGGGUGCAUUAUUGUGGAUGCUGUGGAAGGGGUCUGUCCGCAGGUAGUGGAUUGUAACAUGGAAAUAUUUAACUGCUUAAAGAAGGUGUGGGGAGAGAGGAGGAACUGACUGCCGAUGACUCUGCCACUUGGGACAUUUCACUGACCAUCAGAAAGCUGGUUUUACAUUUCACAUUCGGUAGUGUUCUGGUCUGUGAUGGAGUUAAAUCCCCCAAGAUUUGAAGGGGUAGUAGAGAGAAUGACUUUAAGGUACCUUGAUGUGUCUGUCAUGUCCUCUUGGAGAAGAACUCAGCAAAAAUGGGAGAGGUGUUUAGGAGGAUCUGGAGGUUUCACUCUGGUGGAAAAGUUUCUGAACUGUGAGAGGUAAUUGAUAGCAAGAUACUGAGUGUCUUCUGUUGGUCUGUCAGUCUACCCCCCCUCCCACCUACACACGCUGUCUCUCUGCCUUCCUCCUCCCCUCUCUUACUCUUCCAGAUCCUUAACCUAGACUUUCUUAUCUUUCCCACCAAAGUUCAAAAAGUUCACCCCUAAGGCCAGAGUGAGCAUGUAACUCGGGUCGACGUGAAACUCAAGAGUGGCUUUCUAAAUUCAGUUUUUAAAAUAAUUUUUCUUUGAAACCUUACGUGUUAUCUUUAAAAAUGUUGUCACCUUUGUGUCCUACUUCUUAAAUGCCCCGAUUUGUUUUAAUGUUUUUUAAAAAGAAUAAGAAAAGGUUUAAAUUUCAGGCAUACCUCUGAGAUAUUGCAGUUUUGGUUCUGAGCCACUGCAGUAAAAUGAAUAUCACAGUAAAGCGAGUCACAUGAACUUUUUUUAGUUUCCCAAUGCAUAUAAGAGUUAUGUUUACAGUAUAUUGAAGUCUCUUACGUAUGCAAUAGCAUUAUGUCUAAAAAACAAAUGUAUGUACCUUAAUUUAAAAAAUACUGUAUUGCUAAAAAAUGCUAACGAUUGUUGAGCCUUCUUUGAGUUGCAAUGGUAACAUCAAAGUUCAGUGAUCACAGAUUACCACAACAAAUAGAUGAAUAAUGAAAAUUGUAAAAUAUUGUGAGAAUUCCCAAAACGGGACAUAAUGACAUGAAGUGAGCAAAUGCUGUUGGAAAAAUGGUCCUAAUAAACUUGCUUGAUGCAGGGUUGACACAAACCUUCAGUUUGUAAAAAAUGCGACAUCUGUGAAGCACAGUAAAACAAAAGCACAAUGAAAUGAGGUUUUCUUGUAGAAAUGGAGAAAAUUUGAUAAUUCCAAGAAGAUAUGCUGUAAUUAUUCUGUAACUUCCCGUCUGAUUGCCUGUAAGGGCACAGGUCCCCCAACUGGAGAAGCACAGCCUUAGUCUUUGUAGUGUCUUAGGUGCCCUGAGAAGACGAGUAAAAUGAACAGACCUGACUUUAGAAUAGCAGAAUAGUGGUUAAUGCUGAGAGGUUGUUUAUGAUCAGGAAGGCAUACAUAGGGGACUUCUGGGGGAAUGUUCUGUUUCUCAACCUGUGUGUUUGCAACAUGAGUGUUUGUUUUCUGAUUAU